GGCUCUUCUGAGGCUGCUGCCAGUGGUCAAAGCCUCCAACAGAGCUCUACUUUCUGGCUGUAACCUCUCAGAGAGAAGCUGUGAAGCUCUGUGCUCAGUUCUCAUCUCUAAUUCUCUUAGUCUGGGAGAACUGGACUUGAGUAAUAAUAACCUCCAAGACUCAGGAGUGAAGCUGUUGUCUGCUGGAUUGAAGAGUACAAACUGUACCCUGGAAACUCUCAGAAGUCUUCAAUUACUCCAAAUUAUUGCCGUGAGACUACAGACAGAGGCAUUGAAAGAGAGAUCGAACAAUUCCUACGUGAAGUAUU